CCUAMGGGGCGCAGCAGGGCGAAAAACUUACAAUGCGGGAAACCGUGAUAAGGGGACACCGAGUGUCAGCAUCAUAUGCUGGCUGUCCAGGUGUGUAAAAAUACACCUGUUAGCAAGGGCCGGGCAAGACCGGUGCCAGCCGCCGCGGUAACACCGGCGGCCCGAGUGGUGAUCGUGAUUAUUGGGUCUAAAGGGUCCGUAGCCGGUUUGGUCAGUCCUCCGGGAAAUCUGAUAGCUCAACUAUUAGGCUAUCGGGGGAUACUGCCAGGCUUGGAACCGGGAGAGGUAAGAGGUACUACAGGGGUAGGAGUGAAAUCUUGUAAUCCCUGUGGGACCACCUGUGGCGAAGGCGUCUUACCAGAACGGGUUCGACGGUGAGGGACGAAAGCUGGGGGCACGAACCGGAUUAGAUACCCGGGUAGUCCCAGCCGUAAACGAUGCUCGCUAGGUGUCAGGCAUGGCGCGACCGUGUCUGGUGCCGCAGGGAAGCCGUGAAGCGAGCCACCUGGGAAGUACGGCCGCAAGGCUGAAACUUAAAGGAAWUWCGGGGGAGCAC
rnacentral:rRNA from 1 species